rnacentral:rRNA from 1 species
GGGCCCGCACAAGCGGUGGAGUAUGUGGUUUAAUUCGAUGCAACGCGAAGAACCUUACCAGGGUUUGACAUCCUGCGAAUCUCUUGGAAACGAGAGAGUGCCUUCGGGAACGCAGUGACAGGUGGUGCAUGGCUGUCGUCAGCUCGUGUUGUGAAAUGUCAAGUUAAGUCUUGUAACGAGCGCAACCCAUGUCUUUUGUUGCUGUUUACAGUGCUUAAAAGAGACUGCCGCUCUACAGCGGAGGAAGGUGUGGAUGAUGUCAAGUCAGCAUGCCCCUUAUAUCUUGGGCUACACACGUACUACAAUGGUAGGGACAAUGAGUCGCAAACCUGCGAAGGCUAGCC